GUGGGGAAUAUUGGACAAUGGGCGAAAGCCUGAUCCAGCCAUGCCGCGUGUGUGAAGAAGGUCUUCGGAUUGUAAAGCACUUUAAGUUGGGAGGAAGGGUUGUAGAUUAAUACUCUGCAAUUUUGACGUUACCGACAGAAUAAGCACCGGCUAACUUCGUGCCAGCAGCCGCGGUAAUACGAAGGGUGCAAGCGUUAAUCGGAAUUACUGGGCGUAAAGCGCGCGUAGGUGGUUCGUUAAGUUGGAUGUGAAAGCCCCGGGCUCAACCUGGGAACUGCAUCCAAAACUGGCGAGCUAGAGUACGGUAGAGGGUGGUGGAAUUUCCUGUGUAGCGGUGAAAUGCGUAGAUAUAGGAAGGAACACCAGUGGCGAAGGCGACCACCUGGACUGAUACUGACACUGAGGUGCGAAAGCGUGGGGAGCAAACAGGAUUAGAAACCCGGGUAGUCC
rnacentral:rRNA from 1 species